UAUCACUUCCGGCUGUCAGUUAUCACUUCCGGCUGACCCUGCGCACGAAGGCCGUGGAUGGGCAGGAAAGCAGGGCUUACGUGCGGGCCUCGUUUCCAUCUCUUUGAUCAUGUCUGUGGCUCCUGCCCGGACACCCUCCAGCGUCUGCCCGCCGGUUCGGGAGGGGGUGACGCAGACUCGACUCAGCGAUCUCAUAAGGAGCUGACUAACGCGGGACCGAGAGGGGGAUGACUUCGGGGCCGGCACGUCACGGGCCUUUUAUGUGUGCGGAAUCCAGGCAGCUUUGAAGGAGGCAGGCGAGGCGCUCCGCUGACUACCACCAGAUGCCCCGGAUUUUCCAGCACGAGCUUUUCGGAGAGGGUUCGGAUUUCAAAUGUUCUAUUUGAUUGUCCCCAUAAACCAGUAAAAUGUCCCAGAACUUCAAA